CCUACGGGAGGCAGCAGUCGAGAAUCAUUCACAAUGGGGGAAACCCUGAUGGUGCGACGCCGCGUGGGGGAAUGAAGGUCUUCGGAUUGUAAACCCCUGUCAUGUGGGAGCAAAUUAAAAAGAUAGUACCACAAGAGGAAGAGACGGCUAACUCUGUGCCAGCAGCCGCGGUAAUACAGAGGUCUCAAGCGUUGUUCGGAAUCACUGGGCGUAAGGCGUGCGUAGGCUGUUUCGUAAGUCGUGUGUGAAAGGCGCGGGCUCAACCCGCGGACGGCACAUGAUACUGGGAGACUAGAGUAAUGGAGGGGAAACCGGAAUUCUAGGUGUAGCAGUGAAAUGCGUAGAUAUCGAGAGGAACACUCGUGGCGAAGGCGAGUACCUGGACAUUAACUGACGCUGAGGAACGAAGGCCAGGGGAGCGAAAGGGAUUAGAUACCCGAGUAGUC
rnacentral:rRNA from 1 species